ACAGAGGAUCAGAGCCCUUCCACGGUCCUCUCCGUGGGAGCCCGAGUCCCUGUCUCCCAGAUCUGACGUGCUCAAGGUAAGAUAACCCUUGUCAGGGCUGCUGACUUGCAGGGGGUUGCUGCCUGGAGUGAGUCCCUGCUGGUCAACGCCUUUUACUUAGAGUUGAUUCAUAAGGAUGCUGUAAUGAACAGUGAGCUUCUUAACUAGCAACUGGUUUGAAAACAAACUUCUGUUUGAACAGUAAAAUAAAAAUUCCUUUUUGGCAGAAACAACAGCAUUUCUAUUACAAAAAUCUUUUCUCUUUUUAAGUCACACUGCCCCCCCUCCCCGCGUGCCCCGUCUGUCUGACUGCUUCUGAGGUUAAAUGUAUCUGUUUGCGGUAUUAUGCUUGUGUUUUUAAUUGUAAAUAGUUCACAUAUCAGUAAGGGCAGGGGAAUCUGUCCCAUUGUCAAAAAAAAAUGCACUUUAAAGGAGCACAAUUACUUCUCUAAAAAUAGCACAGUCAAAAGGUCGGCUGCUGAUUUUGUGAUGUUUUCCAAACCCCCAAGACAACUUCUGUGAGUCCUUUAAGAAGUAUCUUUCCAGGUUUAACUGCUCGGAAAAAAUGAUGUGAACGAGUGCCCUUUGCCCGGGGACAGUAAUCAGGUGACUGGAAGAUAGGAAAGUACAAAUCCCAGUUUACAAGCUGGGGCAGGAUGAGCCACUGCUGGGCUACCUUUCCAGUACAGCCUAAAAGGAGUCUUGUGUGGAGACUGAGAGUGUAUGAGAACUCUGUGAUGCCUAUACACACCUCAAACACGAAGUGUUUCAAUAUGUUUCUCAGAAAGCACGCCGGUCAGAUUGCACAAUUCUUCUGUGUACAACUGACUGAUGUAUAGCGAGAUCAGCCAGAAAGACUUCAGAUGGAAGGUUUUCAUCCUCACCGUCCCCUCUGCCCUCCUCAAGCGAGUGCCUGGUUAUUGACUGACUCCCCCAGAGCUCUGCAGUGGGGAAGAGACCUUGGAUGUGUGUAGGGGUGGUUUGGGGAAGUGGUUGUGGUAGGUGGGUUGGGGGUUGAUCUGUUCUUCUUCUCCAGAGUGCUGUGCACCUGUGUGAGGAGAAGCAAACCUGACAGCUACUUUGGAAAAAUAAAUAAAAAUCAGACUCUUGUGCCAUCAAGUUUGCUACCAUAUUCUGUGGGUUUUGUGGGAUGAAAGGCUCUCAUGUGGGAGAAAAGCCCUCUUCAAAUGUUCCAUCUGGGCAACUGCAGAAGCUGCUCUUGGAGGAGACAAGCCCAGGCUGCCAGUCAAGAAACCAAAGCAGCGCUUUAGUCCUUAAGGUUCUUAAGGGGAGAGAGCCAUUCACAUCUUCAUGCCUGUUGGUUGUGUGCUGUUUCAAAUGGGAAAUUUCACUGUAGGUCUAAAACUGAAAUAAAUCACACACUUAGACAAGUGGCUUGGGCUUUUCCAAAUUCUCUUUAUCUUUUAUAUAUCAAAAGAAAUGUAAAAAUAUUAAACACUGUUUAGCAUGAAAGGGCUAGCAUAAAAUUAUUCAAGUUACUUAUGAACCAUUUCCCCCACGUUGCAGUUUUUCCCCCCAGUGGAAAAAUACUGCAGAGAAUGUGGUUUCCUUUCAGAAAAUGAUAUAAAAUUACUAUUGGCCAAUAUAAUAUGUGACCUGUGCAUCUUCAAAUCCCCUUAUCUCCAUCCACAGUGCAGUCUGCUGGCUCUCUAGCUAACAAGAGUAAUGAGCCAUGGAAGGUGCAGGUAUGAAACAAGGCCAACCCAAAUGUUGGGUUCAUUCAAGUUAAUUCCUCCUUUAAGGUAAUACUUGAGUCCUGCUCAGCCCCAUCAGUGAGAAAAGAUUAUAAUUUCCUCCAAAAACCUCCUCUGUCAAAGUUAUCAGCCCUAAGGGCCAAAAGCUUACAUUAUAGAACUCUGUUCAAGCUAAAUUUGAGACUUAUAAUUGUUCUCUGAAGGUUUGCUUCUGCUCUCCCUGACUGUCUGAACGGAGCAGCUAUGAACAGUUUAACAGUAUAUGUGUCAUGAGGUUCAACCCCCUUAACUAAGUGGGUGAGAUCAUCUCAGACUGUUCAUGAUCUAACCUUCCCAGGGGGCAUUACCAGUCAAAGGAGUCUUUCCCUAAGGUAUGUACCAGGCACAAUGGUACUUUUCUUCUUAUGAGUUUAGAAAAAUCAAAGUUAAGGUGUCAUUUAGUUGUCCUAACAUCACCUCUUCUGCACAGGAUGUCAAAGGACAGCCCGAGUCUCCUCUUCCCGUGUGUGGCCAUGUCCAGCGCAUGCUAUUGCAGCAGGCUGCUGCUAUCUCCCUAAAGGAAAACAAGAGUGGGUGUCUCCUUGACCAGAGACACCCAAAGGAUGCCCUACAGAUUUUGAGGACCUGCUAUACUUAUAAAAAACAAACCCACACAUUUUAGAUUUCUAUUUCUGAUUUUGAAUAAGUAAAAUAUCUACACAGUAGGAAAGUAGAUGUAUAUUUUUAUCUCAAAAGAAAAGGAUAAAGGACACCUUUAAAGAAUUUGAAAUCAACCAGAAUUGAGUGGGAAGGUGAGAAGACACCUAGACAUCCAUUAAGAGACUAGAACAAUCUAGAUCUGUUAUCAAACAUGACCUCUUGCUAUCCUUACUUACAUAGAGCCAUGGAGGAUGAAGAAGAGAAAAAGUACCUGCUUAGAGUUUCUGUCUGAAUUUUCCUUUCUAGCCAAUAAGAGCACUGUCACUGCUAAUCUAAGAGUCAUCUCUACUGCCUUACUCAUUGCAUCUUCCUCCACUUACGGAAGACAGCAGCAUAGUUCUGACACCC
rnacentral:lncRNA from 1 species